rnacentral:rRNA from 1 species
CGCACAAUGCGGUGGAGCAUGUGGUUUAAUUCGAAGCAACGCGAAGAACCUUACCAAAUCUUGACAUCCUUUGACCACUCUAGAGAUAGAGCUUUCCCCUUCGGGGGACAAAGUGACAGGUGGUGCAUGGUUGUCGUCAGCUCGUGUCGUGAGAUGUUGGGUUAAGUCCCGCAACGAGCGCAACCCUUAAACUUAGUUGCCAGCAUUUAGUUGGGCACUCUAGGUUGACUGCCGGUGACAAACCGGAGGAAGGUGGGGAUGACGUCAAAUCAUCAUGCCCCUUAUGAUUUGGGCUACACACGUGCUACAAUGGACAAUACAAAGGGCAGCUAAACCGCGAGGUCAUGCAAAUCCCAUAAAGUUGUUCUCAGUUCGGAUUGUAGUCUGCAACUCGACUACAUGAAGCUGGAAUCGCUAGUAAUCGUAGAUCAGCAUGCUACGGUGAAUACGUUCCCGGGUCUUGUACACACCGCCCGUCACACCACGAGAGUUUGUAACACCCGAAGCCGGUGGAGUAACCAUUUAUGGAGCUAGCCGUCGAAGGUGGACAAAGUGGCC